UAAAUUAGGUGCAUGACUUCUGUAAUU
rnacentral:piRNA from 1 species